GAGAGCAGGUGAGGAGCUGCCGUGUGGAGACGGAGGCCAGGGCCCUGCCAGGCAGGGCAGAGGGUCCAGUGCGUGGCCAGCUGUCCCCUUAGGCCCCUGGGCUUGGGCGAGCGUCCUGCUGGGCCCCGAGAGCCAGCUGGGGGCCGCCUUUGGGAUCUUGUGCAGAUGGCAAGUACUUGAGGCAGGGUGUCCUGGGGCGGGAGCAGUUUGGGCGUUUCUGUUUGAGAGGUUUAAUGGGGAAAAAAUACCCCCCAGCUCUGCCCAUGGUGUCCUGGAGUGGGGGUCUCCUACCCUCUUGGCCAGGAGCCCGUCCCCCCACCACCUCCUCACUCUGGGAUCCUGAUGGCUGCACCCUCCUCAGAGCCUCAGGCGCUGGCCGGUGCUGGCCCCAGGAGGCCAGUCUUGGUGGUCUCGGUCCCCGUGGCCUAUGGCUGUCUUAGUCCUGUCAGGGGAUGCCCACCCACGAGGGGCCUCCGCCAGGGUGCUGGGGACAGGACUCCACUAGCAAGCGGGCAGGGAGGAGGUGGCCUUCUCUGCUGCUGGACACUCCACCUGCCCCUCCCCCAAGAGGGCAGAGAAGAGGGCAGGGACCAGGACGGUCACAUCCCAGAACCUCCUGCCGCAGACCAUCCUCAGGAGAGCUGCUCGAUGUCCCCACUGCUCUGUUUGUCACUUGUGCAAGGGUCGCUGCCUCACUAGCCCAAAGGAGAAAAGUGAGACCAGCCACGGGGGACAGUGGCAGCUGCGGGAGAGCCGAAAAGAAAACCCAGAGAGACCCCAGAGGGGCAGGGGGGAUGGGCCUGUGUGUCGGUCAGGCCUCCAGCGGAGCUGCAGGACAGAGGCAGAGGGUGUGGACAGAGCCACCCGUUCCCAAGGCGCCCUCUGUCUGUGGAAAGAUCCCGGCUCCCUGCCAACAAGAGACUUACAGAGCAAAGCCCUGCCCACCUUGAUGGCUGGCGGGAGGGUCAGGGCUCCAACCACACCUGCGGGUGAUUUAAAACACUGUCACAGCCCUCCCAGGGGUGUGCCCUACAGACAGACGCACAGACGCUUAGGUUACAUUCCAGGAAGCUCACUGCUCGCAGCAGGAAACCAGGAGCAGCCUGAAGUCUGUUCGGGAAAGACCAGCUGCAGAAAUGACCACCCAUGGAACACUGGAGUACCUUCCCAUGCGGUCCGGGAAGACCCCCAGGGAGAGGGCCACCUAGGAGAAGCAAGAUGUGAACAGCACACUGCCAAUCACGGAGGGAAGGAGGCGAAAAGAGAAGCCGUGUGCAUCACUAGUGUGUCUAUCUGCCUGUCCACCCAGUAGCUGUUGUGAAGGACUGAAUUGUGCCUGCUUCCAGCCCACGUCAGAGCCUCACCCUCCACGUGACUGUGUUUGGAGAUGGGACCUUUAAGGAGAUCAAUAAAUUAAAUGGGACUCUGAUCCGUUAUGACUGGUGUCUUCAAAAGAAGAGAGACACGGGGGUUCUGUGCUCCCAGAAAAAGAAAGGGGUCAUCUGCAAGCCAAGGAGGGAGGGCUGAGGUGGAACCAGAGCUCCCAGUACCCCGGAAUGUGAUAACACAAAUCCCCAUUGUCUAAGCCAUCCAGGCUGUGGUGCUUUGUUAUGGCAGCAGUGGCUAACUGAUACUGACUUUGGUACCAGCAAGUGGGUGCUGCUAUAACAAAUAUCUGAAAACAUGGAGAUGGGCUUUGGGACAGCAGAAUGGGUAGAAGCUGGAAGAUUUUGAGGUGCAUGUUAGAGAAAGCCCAGAGCACCUCGAAGAGACGGCCAGUCCAACACGGAGGUUGAAGGUGCUCUGGGGUCUCAGACGGAGAGCACGUUCACUGGAGGGAGGGAAGGCAGUCCCUGCUACAGGGUGGAAAUCGCGGCUGUGCUGUGUUCCAGUUAAAAGUGACGAACUUGGAAAUUCACCUGAGGAGACUUCUAAGCAGAGUGUCUUGCCACUUACAGUGACAUGAGUAGACACAGGGCCCUGCCCAGCAGACCUGCCAGCCGAGACCAGGAGGGAUGGAGUAGAAGGCACGUGGAUGAACCAGGGCAGCUCCGGGGCGCGGCAGGGGGACAAUCCAGCUGUCGGGGUGUGGGCAUGCAUCAUCUUUUGUGGAAAAUGAAGAGUGGCCCCUGGACGACUCAGGGACAGCAGGGCGGCCACUGCCAUGUGGGCCCCCAGCCUGGGUGUCAGAGGGCCCAGCUGCCACUGCCCAGACUUGGAAAGGCAAAGCUGCUGCCUGGAGCCCCAGGGCCAUGGGGACGAAGCUGCUGCCCACUGGGUCUGGAGGGCAGAGCCCUGAGCCAAGGACAGGGUCCCUGAGGAUCAGAAUAGAAUGGAAUCAGCCUCGCAGGUCUCGGCUGCGUCAGGCACCCAUUGUCCCCCUCCGCCUCGUCCCUCUGCCUCGUCUCUCCCCUUUGGAGUGGAGUUCUGCCGGCUUUGUGCUGUGGCGGCCCUGGACUCCCCCUGCAGGGGGCUUGGCCUAGGCCUCACCCACCGCUGACCUGGGUGGUGUUCAGAUGGGGCUCUGGGCUCAGAGCUGCUGCUGGAUGAGCUCAGGGCCCUUGGGACACAGGGAAGUGCUGUGCAGUGUGAGAGUCGGGAACUGGGGGGCAGAGGUGGACCAGGGGCUGAAUGGAGCCCCCACUCAUGGGUCGAAACCCCAGCUCCCGAAGACCACCUCUGAAGGCAGGCUUUGAGAAGGCACCGAGACCAGGCGAGGUCACUGGGGUGGCCCUCCGUCCAGCAUGGCCGUGUCCUCAGAACAGGAGCACCUCAGGAAGGUGAGCGUGCCCUGGGCAAAGGACCGGCAAGGUCAGCAUGGGAAGGUGGCCUCCCAAGCCCUGCAGCCGGGUCCCAGGGGCCAGCUGCCAACACCUGGGUCCAGGAUCGGGCCUCCAGAACAGAGAGGCAGGUCUCUGUGCUGUGCCGCUGGGCAGCCUCGGCCGACUGACCCCUCCAGAGCACCACGCGUCUCCGCAGAGAUCCGAGAGGGGUCAGCAACAGACUGCCUGGCGGCGGGGGGGGGGGGGUGGCGUCUGGGGAUGGGGACAGAGGAGAACUUUUUGUUUUAUUUUAUCAUGUUUUAAGUGUAUAUUUUUUUUCUUUGCACCUUUUUUAUGGGUGCAUUACAGUCGUGCAUAUUGAUGGGGUCUGUUGUCACACAUUCGCACAGGCACACCUCGUGACCACGUAAUUUGGCCAACAUCCCUCCCUAGCCCUCUCUGUCCCCCACCCUCUGGUCCCCCAACUUCUACUGAUCUCCCUUUGAUUUUCAAAAGACCUUUCCUGACCUUUCUUCCGCCUUUUCCUCCUUAGCGACCACAUAUGAGGGAAAACACUCGGACCUUCACCUUCCAAGUUCGACUUAUUUCUCUUGAUGGGAUGGUCUCUGGUUCCGUCCACUUUCCUGCAAAUGGCAUGAUUUCCUUUGCUUGGGCUGAGCGGAAGUCCGUUGUGUAAACACCACACUGUCUUCGUCCGGUCAUCCGCUGAUGGACACUGGGCUGCUUCCGCGGUUUGGCCGUCGUGAAUUGUGCUGCUACCCACAUGGGUGUGCGGGGGCCACCGUGUGAGAUGACUCCAACUCUUCAGGGUAGAUACCGGGGAGUGGUGCCACUGGGUCGCAUGGUGGUUCCACGCCGAGGCUUUUGGCACUGAGCUAAUCUUAUUGGCCACUUCAUGUUAAAGGCACCCAUAUUCCAGAUGAGGAAACAGAGGCCCAGUGGGUGAGGGUCAUGCCCAGCAAGCCCCAUUCUGCCUGCAGGCUGAGCCCACUCUCAAAGCUACAGCUUGGCUGUCCCCAUAUGUCAGAAAGGCUGAGGGAUGGGUUUUGGGAAGUGCUUCCCUCCUGCCCCUGGCUCUCACAGCUGGGUUGAGUUUGGCAGAAGGGCCCGGCUGCUCUGCUGGGGCCUGGGGCCCCUCCCCUCUGGUGGGCGACUGAUGGUUCCAGCCGGGCGCUCUCCCUCCUCCCCGGCUGCUGCGUAUGUACUAUCCGUCCUAUUUAUGAAUUUGCCUUCCUGAAAUGUAUUCAUAAUAGCAAAACGAGGCUACCUGGCUCUUACAGAGCUUGGGUGAACACCCACGUCUCCUGAACGCAGGCCCCGUGGGGGUCACCAGGCCGUGCGCCACCCCUGGACUGCCAGGCUCCUAACACGUGCCCUCCACCAGCUACCUUACGUUUCCCACGGGUUUUGUCCUCCGUGAGUGGGGCUGGCGCAGCUCCUGUUCCCAGGCUGCCCAGUGCCUGAGGAGCGAACCCACCCGAGGGCUGGAACGGGCAGCAGGAAGGGCCGAGGCCUGAGCUGCUGAGAAGCCCCUGGUCACUCAGCUGACUCUGCGGGGUGAGCGUCCUGUUCUAGAACACCUGGGAGCGCCCGGCCUCAGACCCCAGGCUUCCCCCUGAUUUGGGACACUUGCACGCUGUGCGCGUGACCAGACGUCUUGGGGGUGGGACGGGUGCCCCGUGGGAAAUCCAGUCGUCAGACCUCGUGCCCAAGCCCUGACGGCGAUCUGAUAGGGUAUUUUAACAACGGUGCGUGUGAAGCCCGUUUCUGUGGUGUGGGACUCUCCUCCGGUCUGUGCUCAGUGCCCCUGGGUUUGGGAGUCUGGCCCAGGCAUGUUGGACCUGUAGGCUGAUUGGGUGGAAAAGCCGUGAGCAGAGGCUCUCAGAACCUGACCCCAGCCCUCCAGGGGCUGUGCCCAGCGCUGGCGGUGACUCCACAGAACACGACUACCGUGAAGAGCGGUAUCCACGGAGCUUCUCCCACGGCCCAGGCAGGACGGGGCCAAGGCCCCUGCAGCUUCUGCUGGGCCCUGCCUCCCAGCACCAGGCCAGCUGGUGACCUGUGGGCUGAGCCCGCAGCAGCCGGCUUUGCACUCAGAGGGGCCCCAAGUCCCUCAAGUGGACGCAUCAGAGUGGGAAUUAAAAUUGGCGCCUGCCUCGGUUUCUGGAUUGUUCUGGAACCUUCCCUGGUUGCAUUCUAUACUUUUCCCCAGGGGAAGUGAUUGCCAGCCUGGAACCACCGAGAACCCUGCAGAGCCUAGUGCCUGCUUUCCCCCAACAGGACCCCCGUUGACCUCGAGGUUGGGCAGAGACGGGGUCUGCCUGCCCACUUAACUGGCAGCCAUCUCUCCAGACUCGGUACCUCUCCUCGUCAGAGCCUGACCUCCCAUGGCCCUCUUAACCCUCCCCAGGGGCUGGUGGCACCCGGACUCCCAUGUUAUGGAUGGAGACACUGAGGCCCAGAGGAAGCACCUGUUGCUGUGGCCUCACCUGGACAGGUGAGGCUGGGUCCACCAGAGGAUGCCAGACCAGCCCUCAGGCUGCCCAGGACGCACGGCAGUUCCAAGGCUACAACAGACACAGCGUGUGGCCACACGGCAGGGUCCCCAGCUCGGGGGCCACGGGUGUUGGUCACAUCUCUCUACACUCUCCUAGUUCCUCACUUAGGACACAAUUUCCUUCCAAGCAGAAGAGUGACCUCCUGGGGACAGACCCUGCCUCGCAGCUCCUGUAGCUGUGCCUGGCUCCUUCAGAGACGGAGCCAGGGCGCCCACAGCUCCUCUCUGUAGGUCCCACACAGGCCAUGGCUUCCUCCCUGUUCUCUGGAGAUAUUUUUUCCAUUUUAAUCUGACCUUGCUUGUAGGAAAUCAUUCUGGGGCCAUGCAUAGGGUUUUGGGUAACAAUCCAGGAACUGCUCAUGAACGUGUCCCCUUUGAGGACCCCAAGUCCCCCUUGGAAUGGUGCUGGUCCUAGUUCACGGUCUCGCUGGCUGUUGCCUGCCCAGGGCGUGAUACCUACUCAAUAAAUGCGUGCGGUUCACCUCCCAGCAC
rnacentral:lncRNA from 1 species